UACCAAGAGGGGGGCAUUUUACUUGAACGUGGAUGGGUGACAAAUUAAAGGAAAAAUUUGAACGCAAGUGUUUUUUGCUAGUUUCAGCUCUUAAAGGGAAUGGGAGAUGAGACUCUGAUUGGUUUACUGCACGUUUUGCCCAAAACACACCCGACUCAUUAAGAGAAUAGGGACCACCCUUUUAGACCAUGCGCCUGCUGGGCCGACCAUUUUUCCCAUCAUUAAACUAGCAAAAGUGGAUUCGGACACGCCCUAAGUUCACUUGCGCUUUAGACCAUGCGUUUAGAUGGUUAAAAUAGGGCCCUUGGAGAAUCUAUGGCAAGGUUCAUUUUAGCCAUUCAACACCUUACUAACACACUGUGUUGUGUUUUCCUUUCACUAAUCACCUGCCUUUUGGAUCCAGUACCUUUAACAACAUCAAUCUUACAAGAAAUAUUCCCCCAACACACAGACAGCAGCUGUGGAGAGGAAACGUGCACGCUCUUCUGUAGGAGACCCUCCACAGACCUCUAAAAGGGACUUAUAAGGACAUGGCAAGCCGAGGGGAGGCAAGGAGGGCGACGCCAAUCUUCAGCUACAGUCACACACACCCCGGUUGAAUGCUCCCUAUCAUCCAGUGUGGAGGUUCCACUUACUGUGCCCUCAGCAGAGCUAAAUCCUCAAGAGCAAUUUGAAAAAAUAUGGAGAGGCUCUCUGAUAUUUUGACAUCUUAUCCUGCUGCUGAGCCUCAGAAAAGCUCUGCAUCAUCAUGGUCUUUGCGGCAGCAGAAAGCCUCAGAGCGCUAGACCAUACCACCUAAAAUGCCUUAUUGCAAAAGAGGCUGAUGGUCAGCCGUUGUGUUUUCUUUACUAUGAGCCUGCUGUUAUUAGGUGCAGAGAGUGUCUUCCUGAGGAGUGGUUCUGUGGGGACUGUGAUGUAUUGCGACACAAAAAACAGCCACUCCACAACAGGGAACGUGUGAUUCAUGGGUUUUUUGAAGCAAACCCUCCAACCUCAUGCGUCAUUAAAGGGCAAGAUGGAUAUUGCAUCCGUGAGAAAGCAUGCAUUUCGCCAACAGUGAAGGUGCCAUACUGCUCCUGUGAAGGCACAAACUUCACCAUAUUACCGGGCAAACCAGUGAUUUUAAUUACCAACAAUG